rnacentral:rRNA from 1 species
UCGUGGCAGAUAGCUCAGUAACACGUGGCCAAGCUACCCUUCAGUCGGCAAUACCCUCGGGAAACUGAGGUUAACGGCCGAUGUGGGACGCCUGCUGGAAUGCGGCGUUCUCUAAAGGCGACGCUGAAGGAUGCGGCUGCGGCCGAUUAGGUUGACGGUGGGGUAACGGCCCACCGUGCCAGUAAUCGGUACGGGUGAUGAGAGUCAGAGCCCGGAGACGGAAUCUGAGACAAGAUUCCGGGCCCUACGGGGCGCAGCAGGCGCGAAACCUUUACACUGCACGGAAGUGCGAUAGGGGAAUCCCAAGUGCGAGGGCAUAUUCGCCCUCGCUUUUGUUGACCGUAAGGUGGUCAACGAAUAAGAGCUGGGCAAGACCGGUGCCAGCCGCCGCGGUAAUACCGGCAGCUCGAGUGAUGUCCAAUAUUAUUGGGCCUAAAGCGUCCGUAGCUGGCCGCGCAAGUCCGUCGGGAAAUCCACCUGCCCAACAGGUGGGCGUCCGGCGGAAACUGUGUGGCUUGGAACCGGAAGGCUCAGAGGGUACGUCCGGGGUAGGAGUGAAAUCCCGUAAUCCCGGACGGACCACCGAUGGCGAAAGCACUCUGAGAAGACGGCUUCGACAGUGAGGGACGAAAGCUAGGGUCUCAAACCGGAUUAGAUACCCGGGUAGUCCUAGCUGUAAACGAUGCUCGUUAGGUGUGGCACCCACUACGAGUGGGUGCUGUGCCGCAGGGAAGCCGCUAAACGAGCCGCCUGGGAAGUACGUCCGCAAGGAUGAAACUUAAAGGAAUUGGCGGGGGAGCACUACAACCGGAGGAGCCUGCGGUUUAAUUGGACUCAACGCCGGAAAUCUCACCAGCCCCGACAUCAGUAAUGACGGUCAGGUUGAUGACCUUACCCGAUGCUGCUGAGAGGAGGUGCAUGGCCGCCGUCAGCUCGUACCGUGAGGCGUCCUGUUA